GCUGAAAUUGACUGUCGGUAAGCAUUGAAAAAUGAAUACGAUACGGUGUAAUAUAUGUAAAGACAGAUAUAGAAAUACCUAAAGUAUUCACUAUAUCUUUCUAACACGCCCGCUCGGUUUUAUUUACAUUAGUCUUAUGGGCGUUGAGCGUUCCAGUUAUCGGUAUAGUUUUGUAUCUUUCAGUUCAAUGGGCUGGAACAAACCUAUUUUCAUCAAUUUAGAUAAACCCGAAAAUAACUGCGAUAACAAUGCGAUACGCGACGGUACCCAGUACCAUUGAUUACGUGCUAUGGCG